GACGUAGGGCGCGAGCGUUGUCCGGAUUUAUUGGGCGUAAAGAGCUCGUAGGCGGCUUGUCGCGUCGUCCGUGAAAACCCACAGCUCAACUGUGGGCUUGCGGUCGAUACGGGCAGGCUAGAGUUCGGUAGGGGAGACUGGAAUUCCUGGUGUAGCGGUGAAAUGCGCAGAUAUCAGGAGGAACACCGGUGGCGAAGGCGGGUCUCUGGGCCGAUACUGACGCUGAGGAGCGAAGGCCAGGGGAGCAAACGGG
rnacentral:rRNA from 1 species